GACGAACGCUGGCGGCGUGCCUAAUACAUGCGAGUCGAACGCAUUUUCUUUCACCGUAGCUUGCUACACCGAAAGAAAAUGAGUGGCGAACGGGUGAGUAACACGUCGGUAACCUGCCCAUCAGCGGGGGAUAACACUUGGAAACAGGUGCUAAUACCGCAUAAUUCCAUUUACCGCAUGGUAAAUGGAUGAAAGGCGCUUUUGCGUCACUGAUGGAUGGACCCGCGGUGCAUUAGCUAGUUGGUGGGGUAACGGCCUACCAAGGCUGCGAUGCAUAGCCGACCUGGGAGGGUGAGCGGCCACACUGGGAAUGAGAAACGGCCCAGACUCCCACGGGAAGCAGCAGGAGGGAAUCUUCGGGCAUGGGCGCAAGUCUGACCGAGCAACGCCGCGUGAGUGAAGAAGGUUUUCGGAUUGGAAAACUCUGUUGUUAGAGAAGAAAAAGGAUGAGAGUGGAAAGUUCAUCCCUUGACGGUACCUAACCAGAAAGCCACGGCUAACUACGUG
rnacentral:rRNA from 1 species